rnacentral:rRNA from 1 species
UACGGGGGGGGCAAGCGUUGUUCGGAAUUACUGGGCGUAAAGGGCUCGUAGGCGGCCAACUAGGUCAGACGUGAAAUCCCUCGGCUUAACCGGGGAACUGCGUCUGAUACUGGAUGGCUUGAGAUUGGGAGAGGGAUGCGGAAUUCCAGGUGUAGCGGUGAAAUGCGUAGAUAUCCGGAGGAACACCGGUGGCGAAGGCGGCUUCCUGGACCGACACUGACGCUGAGGCGCGAAAGCUAGGGGAGCAAACGGG